GCUACAGUAACCAUUUACUAAUGAUUGAUUAAUUAGGCUUAAUAGAUUCGUCUCGCGAAUUAGCACAGAGUUCUGCAAUUAGUUUUAUAAUUAGCUCAUGUUUAGUUCUCUUAAUUAGCAUCCGAACAUCCGAUGUGACACUGUUAAAGUUUAACACCUCGUAUCCAAACACCCCCUUAGUUGUUACUUCUUCCUACCCAACAAAUAUGAAAUAUGCAUGUAAUUAUGCUGUCUAUAAGUUCUGGCGACGUAAUUUGGAUCGUUGGUAGCUGAUGAGGAUUUCAUUUUCCAUGUAUGGUGUUCGAAACCGGUCCAUUUCUAGAUGUGGUCGUCCUUUUUGUUGACGAUGGUAAGAUCAAUGCUGAGGAAGCUAGGGCUCAAGUCUUUCGGCGCGGAGGCGAUCUUCAUCAAAUCUGAACUUAUGGAUGUACUUGGGGGAAAUUUACCUCUGUAAGUAUGUUAGAUAUGCUAUUUCCAGAAUCCAUACUAUGAAAUCCAUGGUGUUAUGGGUAUUUCUUUUACUAUAUACCUAUUGAGUGAGACAUCGAUAUUUGAGUUGCUUUGAAUUCGUACAAGUCAAACCAGUAUAGUGGAUUAGGUGGGGUUGAUCAUUGAGCGAGACAUCGAUAUUUGAGUUGCUUUGAAUUCGUACAACACAAUGACUGUCUUGUAUCCUUUCUGCUUCAUCAUCUAAUAUAGGCACGAACUCUAUUCACUCUCCAUCACAAAACUAGGAAUUUUCGCACGAUGCCACCAAAUUUCUCGUGAGAAUUGUCAUCGCUGUCGACAAUUCCUGCUGUCCAAGUUUUGGUGGGGCUGUUCAUGCGGUCAUCACUUAGUCCAUCGGCUGCACUUUCCUACAGGAAGCCCGGCGAGUUCAGUGUCGUCACUGCUGACUCUUACGCAUGUUGUAAAAGCUCACGGGCAUGGCUGUUGGGGUGCAAAACUGAAAGGUAUAUCAUCUGCCGGAGCAGCCGCCGCCGCCGGCCAUAGCCCAGGGAAGGGAAGCCCGUUUGGAAGAAUGGCCAAAAAGCCUAUCCAAUACGUCGUGGUCAGUACUAUGCAAUUUUUGAACAUGUUUGAUGUUUAAAUUUCGAAAUGUGUCACGGAUACUUGAAGAGGAGAGGGACAGAGCACAGAAGCAUUGUGCAUUGAUGCUUUGCCUUCGCAUGAGGCGUGACGCUGUCGCCGGUGUGGUCGUCGCAGGUGGACGCCUUCACGGCGGAGCCGUUCAAGGGCAACCCGGCGUCGGUGUGCGUCCUCGACGACGCCGAGCGGGCCGCCGACGCGCGGUGGAUGCAGGCCGUCGCCACCGAGUUCAACCUGUCCCAGACCGCCUUCCUCCUCCGGGAUUCCAGCUCCGCCGCCGCCGCCGCCCCGCGGUUCGGGCUCCGAUGGUUCACCCCCAACACCGAGGUCCGCCGCAUCCAUCUCUCCCUCCCUCCUCCGCGAAUUGAACCUUGACGUGGAUCCGUUUUGAUUCAGGUCGCGCUCUGCGGGCACGCAACGCUGGCCUCCGCCCACUACCUCUUCACCUCCGUCCUCGCGGAGCACGAGGCGCUCAUCGAGUUCGCCACCAAGUCGGGGAUCCUCACCGCCAAGAAGGUCCCGGCGCCGGCGAGCGCGGGCGUCUCGGGUGAGGGGAAGCUGUUCAUCGAGCUGGAUCUGCCCGCGAUUGAUUUCGUGGAGUGCGAUGAAGCCGAGCUGCCGUCCCUCCCCGAGACCCUGAACGGAGUUCCCGUCGUCAGCGUUCAUAAAUCGACGACCGUCAGCGACUUCAUUGUAAUCCCUCGUAUUCCUUAUUCCAGUUUAUUGCUUGAAUUUCUAGAUUUCAAUGAUUUCCAGGUAAUGAAAUUCCUCGUUAGAUAUUACUAUAUUAGAAUUUUGAAUGGUAGUACAAUGGUAUGCAUUAUAGUGCUGCCACGAUCAUUUUGCACAAAUAGUUGCUUAAUAGUGUCUUUAUGUUACUAAUAAUCUAUCUACACGUUUUGAGGAAAUGUAUCAAUUUAUAAUGAUGUUAAAAUUAAGGAUAGGAUGCACAAACUUUAAAUUAAUAUAAGAACAAAAACUUAUAGAAAUGAGAGUGGGAUGGGGAAGUUUGACUUGUUUAGGUAGAGCACACUAAGAAAAUGAUUGAUUUGGCUUUCAGGUGGAACUUUCCUCAGGAAAAGAGGUUGCCGAUAUCAUUCCUAACAUCCAUGAAAUCAAAAGGUGCUCCGGCAGAGGAGUUAUUUUUACAGGGCCAGCACCUGAUGAAUCUGGUUAUGACUUUUUCACACGUUUCUUCUGCCCAAAAUUCAACAUAGAUGAGGUGAUGCCAUAAUCUUUCUCUGAAACUGUAUGUUAAGAGAUUGAAGGUGCUUAACUUACAAUAGACUGUUCAGUAUUUUGAUGUCAAAUUUGUAUAUGAGAUAGCUUCAUGACUGCUUCUCAAGACUCUAUGCAUGUUUCAUUCUGUUUUCAGGAAAGCAUCCUGUUACAUUUUCAACCUCUAUAUAAUGGAUACUGCAGAGCAAUUGUUUCAAACAUAUUCCAUCCACAGGCAUUUACUCCCUCCGUUCCAGAUUGUAGGUCGUUUUGGCUUUUUUUGGUGCAUAAUUUUUGCUAUACACUUAGAUAUAGUGUAUGUCUAGAUGCAUAAUAAUAUCUAUGAACCUAGAAAAGCCAAAACGACCUACAAUUUGGAACGGAGGAAGUAUCAUGUUUCAAACAUAACAAGCAUCCAUAGUUCUGGACUUCUGGUUUAAGUAUUUACCUCACUGAUUCAGUGAAGAUUGAGAUUGCCUUGUGACGGGACUGGAGUAUCUUAUGUCAUGUUGGACGUGUUGAAAAUUAGAAAGGAAAAGAACAUCAGUAUUUGUACUACUUUCUGAAAAUGGACAUCAAUAGCAUUAUUUUAUCCUGGAAGGGAACUUCACUACUAAGAUUGUCAAUGUUCAAGAAAUUGGUUUUCAUAAAAUUUUCACCAAACAUAUAAAACUCAGCACACUCAGGGAUCUAUUUUUCUAUUAAGACUGCCGAUGCCUUGCUAUUACUGCCAUAUGGGGAUCUUGGUCAUUCAGGAAUUCUGAUUUGGCUUAUGUGUUUAUGGUAGCUUUGCAAAUUUCCUCCAUAGUAACCCUUAAUCACUAUUUUUUGGCAGGAUCCUGUUUGUGGUAGUGCACACUGUGUUUUAGCACCCUACUGGGCUCGCAAGCUGGGGAAACAAAAGCUGACGGCGUUUCAAGUAUGUCCUCGCAAAAGUGCUCUAAUAUUUUCUCAACCAACCAUCACAUUGGUCUUGUUAACUUACGGAUUUAUUGAUAUAUUAUCAGGUAUCUCCACGGAGCGGGACAUUAUACCUGGAGUUGGAAGCUGCAGCAAGGAGAGUGCGGAUUCAGGGAGAGGCUGUCACUGUGAUGACUGGUACCCUCCUAACCUAGUGGCUCACUCCCCAUGUAUGCUCCAAAAUCUGAAGGGCAAGGGAACCUGUAGGCAAUUCCAAUUGCUGGGACAUAUAUACGGGCUUGUUCAACCGUAUUAGCUUAUGGAAUCAAAGUUCCUGAACUUUCUAUGGAGCUUUAAAUAAAGUUGCAGUUUGUAAAAUCGUACCGACAUAAAAGUACCAGCUCCCUUUGGGUUAUCAUUUCUCAAUGUAACAUAGCUGGGAGUUGUGAAGUACAGUACAUACGACCUUUGUUCAAGUUUCCUGUCAUGUUUGGAAACGCGAAUGAAACAGAAUAUUCAGAUCCUGCGGUUUAACACCAUAACUAUGUACUCCCUGAAACAAGAGAGAAUUUGAACCACCCCUUUCCAUUGCUUUUUAGCUUGCCUUAAGGUCGAAGUGCCAGAUAAUCUGAUUUUGGUUGCUCGUAAGUCCAUUGUUGAUAGAGCAGAGAGCACGCUGCCAUCGGUAGAGCUUGGUUUCGUGGAACAACGGCCAAAAAACCCGUUAGGCACUGUGGUUCCUGAGUAAACAAUACUACUCCCUUUAUGCCAAAUCGUAGAUUAUUUUAGUUUUGUUCUAAACUAAGCAUAUCUAACUUUGACCAAAUUUAUUAAAAAAUAUCUUAGCAUUUACAAUAUCAAAUAAAUGCACUGACAGGAUAAGUCCUGUGAUGGAUUUAACAAAACUAACUUAAUGUUGUAGAUGUCAAUGCAUUUUUCUAUAAAUAAAGCCAAAGUUAAAAAAAGGUUUGAUCUGGAAAAAACUAAAACGAUACACAUUAAGUAGCUAGACGUGGGAUUAGAAACUUGAGUACUGCCUUGUUCAAGUUUCUUCUCAUGUAGAAACUUAAAUGCACCUGCUACUACACACCGCACCCAUGUAUGAGAAUUUCUUCUGUACGAGAAUCAACAUAGGCCCUGUUUGUUUCCGCUUAUAAGCGGCUUAUCGGUGGAAAUAAGUGAGAAUCCCGCCAAACGCUUUGCUUAUUUCUACCGAUUCUCGCUUAUGUGGUAAGCCGCUUCAGAAAUUUGAACUACGAGAAGCGAAAAGUGAGAAGCGAGAAAAUCUUCGCUUAGAUUAUAAUCCAAGCGUGGCUAGGAGAAGCGUAUACACCAUAAUUGAUUUGUAACAUCUAAACUUCCAUUAGAGCAAACAUACGGAAGCAGAACACAGCAAAAGCUGAUGCAGCAGUAACAGCAGACCUGAUGUCAUGUUUGUGUUUUAUCUUCCCUGGCAUGAUUUUUUGUUGCACCUUUUUUUUUUGGCAUCUAGAUGCCCGGUUGUACUUAGGUUCUAUGCAAAAUGAUUACUACCUCCGUCCAUAAAUUUUGAACUACCUACCUUGUCCUAAACGUCAUAUAUAUAUUUAUGGAUGGAGGGAGUAUAUGUGAAGCAUUCAGAUUGCAAAGUAGUGUUAACGUUUUGCAACGACGAUAUCCAUGUCCAAAGUAAGUAACUAGAUACUCCAUUUGCACUCACUCAAUGCUGCAUUGGCAGUGUUCAAUAUGUCUUCACUUAAGGCAUUCAGAUUGGACUUUGCAUAUAAUUAGAUGAUAUUCUCUGUUUUCAAAAUAUAAUCCACGUUUUGGAUCCGAUGCAGCCUGCAAUGUAACGUGCUAUAUUUUGCACGGCAGUCUUAGAUACCACAUACCAUGAAAUUAGCAUUUUAUGAAAGUACCUUGAAAUAUGUAUCAAAUAAUACCAAUUUUUUACAUACAACCUGCAAAUUGUUGACCCAAAAAAUUUAAAACUUUGGCCCCGUUUGGUAGAGCUUCGGCUUCUCAUAAAAUGGCUUCGGCUUCGGCUUCUUCGGUGGAGUGGCUUUUUUUAUGAAGUUGAAGCCGUUUUGCAAAACGUUUGGUAAAAUAGCUUCUCAAUAGCAAUAUAUGUAAUUUUAUGAUCACUUAAUGCUUGGAGAGAGAGGAGAAGCCGGUGAAGCCACUUUUUUCGGCUUCUCCUCUCUAGUGUAAGCCGUUUUGCGGCUUCUCCCCGACUUUGAUGGUGAAGCUGUUUUGAAAUUGACCCUUUGGUAGGACUUCACCAAAAGUCGGUGGAGAAGCACUUUGAGAAGCCCUACCAAACGGGACCUUCGUAUGCAUAGUUCCUUGCACUUGCACGCCUUAAAAGAAAGAGGGGGUAGCAGGUGCCUUGAAAAGAGAGGGAGAAGCAAAUACAAAUGCCUUUAGUUCAAACCCUGCCGGCUAGUGGCUACACGUUCCACGUUUUCUUGCGGGCUAACCACACACAAACUAGUAGACAAUGCUGACUGCAAUUGUGCACAAGCAAGGCUUUCCCAACAUGGACACCAUGGAGAACCAAACCUUACAAGAAAGUUGCCCAAUACAUUCGCCGCAGCAUAAAAGGCGCUUCUGCUUCAAAGUUCUGAUUCUCUUCGGUACUCAACAGGGAACCUAGCCGCUGCUCAGAGUGCCUUAGGUGGUCCAAGAACAAACCUAGGAAUUGUCACCUUCACUAUCUGAAUGAGAAAAAACAGUACACUUACGUGAACAGAGAGUUUCGUUUAGAACAAAAUUUUGGCGCAUUCAUGUGCACCAAUUCCUCACGCAGAGAUUUUACAUACUGGCCAGCUACACGAUUAAGGUUCACUAACGAUGCAUAACAAACCACUGUGAAAUCCCAGCCUUUUGUGUUAACAUGAUCAUGACUGCGGUUUUUUGGCAAACCGCUGCAAGGCUUUUGGGAGUUCCAUAUCUUCACCUAUACGCUGCUUCUUGUCAGGUCGCCCAUCGACCUCCUUUGAUUGAUCCAAGAAGGGCCUCUUGGCUCUGAAAACAUCCUCCUCUUUCUUCCUGGUCCGCUUGCUGGGCUUGCUCCUGCCCUUGGUCUUCUUCUUGCGCUCAGUGUUCUUGGCAGCCUCAAUAGCCUCUUCCAUCUCUUCCUCAAUCUCCUUCUUGGUCUUCUUCUCUUUCUUCUUCGGAGCUCUUACAGUGGCUAUCAAGUUUGGAUUAAGCAUGAUAGUGUCCGGCAGGAGCUUGUCCAUAAGAGCGUGAACCUCCUUCUCCCGCUUCUGCUUUGUAGUUUCCAUGGGGUUGGCAACAAAGGUAUCAAAGUUUGGCUCACCAGAUCCUGGAACAAGGAUGGAUGACAGGCCCAUCGAGUGCCCAAUCCCCAGAAUAUCUUCGUAGGGCCGGAACAAAACUUUCCCAACCUGAUAGCCCUUCAUCAUUCUGUGCUUCAUGUAAAGCCUAUAGUCAUGCCCACCAAAAUCCCUGUAGAUCUCUACUAGAGAUCCAUUGCUGCAGGCCAAAAGCCCCUUCUGGCUAAAAUCCAAGGAUUGGGCACGUGCUGCAUAAGAAUUUACAACCUCAUACUUUCUCAGGUCCCAGAUUUUUAUCUUCCUGUCAACACCUGCCGUUGCCAUAAGAUGACCACCCCUGUCAAAUGCAACAGCAGUCACAGGGCCAUGAUGGCACAGCAUGGUGACAAGGGGUUUCACACUUGUUGGCUUCCACAUGGUAACUUUGCCACCAGCAUGCCCCAGGCCUAUGACAGCAUUAUAGGAAUUGACCCGCAUAACAUCAGUUCGCCCCAGACCUGUCCUAUAAUUUGCAACCAUCUCACCAGUGCUCACAUCUUGGUAGUGCAGCUGCCCAAAGCUGUUUAUUGAAGCCAAGAGGAAUUGUUUAGUCAGAAACUGGAGUUUCAACGCUUUGCCAUGUUCCUGUCAACACAGGAGAAGAGAUCAGACUAACAAAAGAAUACAUCUUCACUGAGUUUAGGAAGAUAUCAAAUCGAUGCAUUGAGGACAGACUGAUGAUAAACAUCUCUCAAAAUCUAUGUUGCUAAACUGAUUUGAUGCUGGUUGCAAAACAACAUAGUCCAAAGAAAUUCAAUCUAAUAAGUCCAUUUCAAGGCCCAGUGGGAUAAAAAAGGAAAACAAAAGGGUAUUGAGUUGAUUAAGUGACGAUAUCUCCUCGAUGCAAGGCAUUUUUACCACUGAACAGUUUGCAUUCAUGAACACUUCAUUAUAUGUCCUGGAUGCAAGGCAUUUUUACCACUGAACAGUUUGCAUUCAUGAAAACUUCACUAUAUGUUGAACUGAUAAGUGGACCAUAGCCACAUGUGAAUCUCACAGACAACAGUACGUAUUUUCCAAGAGCAUGUGAUCUGCAGUGCUGUUAAUUAAUUUUCCCAGCAAUACUGAAUAUAGAAGUGUGCAUGUGUUAAGUAACCAGUGAGCAUGUACUUCACAAUUAGCUCAAGUGCCAUAUUUUCUGUUUAGUGCGAUCAUAAGAUGAACAUACAAAACAGGAACAUUUACAUUCUUUUCUACUUUUUUUCUACAAUUUUCAAUGAAAAAUGUAAAUAAUAAAAUAACAUAAUUAUCAACAACAUUUUCCAAGAAAAGAAACUGCCUGUGCUUUACCUUCAGACAAUGAAUUUCUGUACCAUGUCGAUUAUAUAUGUAAGGGUACCUGUUUCAAAAAUAUUCCAAUGAGUAACUAUGAAAUGUUAACAGUAUGACACAGGAAACAAAGAUCAACAGCCUUAGACAACUGCCUCAAAGAAUAAAGCAUCGACAAAGCAUAUAACUUUUGCUUGAUCUAUCUAGUAUAAACAUUUUGAUGUACAGAACCGUUCAAUGUCUCAGUAAAGCAAUCACGAACGGUUGCAGACAAGUAAUUCAAAGCACUCAGAGCUCCAAACUCAAAGGGCAAUUCUCAGCUGCUCCUACCUAUGUCAUUAACAUUCAGAUUAUGUACUAGAAGUCUAAUGCACUGCUAGAAAUAGGCUUAUUUUUCACAAGUGCUGUUCGCAUGAGAUAAUAUGACUCCAGGAUAUUUCUAUGAGGAAAAUGCAACAUUUUGAAUGACUUUAUAGCCUGGUUGAUCAACAAAUUAAAGCACUUGUAUAGUCUUAUUUCUGAGACUCUAAGCAAAGGUUGUGCAUCAAUUUUAAUAUCCCUUUUUUCAUACAUGUUAAUAUAUUAUGAGAAAAACAACAUGUUACACGGUUCAAACAAAAUCAAAAACUUACUUUUUUUGAGCGACUGCAUACAGCUGCUCAUUAUGUAAGAAUGCCACAUCGCGAACAGUUUCCCUCACCUGAAGAAACAAAAACCAGAUAAGAGAAGUGUAAUGCAUGAAGCGGAAAAGAGACGUCUAGCAACAGCUGUGAUUUAAGGCAGGAGGAAGUACCCAAAAUGGGUGAUGCAGAAAAUAUUUUUACAAAAAAAUAGAUACGUGCCAUUAGUCUAAGGCCGCCAAACAUCCCUCCACAUAAUAGUGUUCAUCAAAGAAAACACAGAUCAAAAACAUAAAUGAUAAAAUAGAGGAAGAGCCUCGUAUAACUUCCUACUGUUCUAAGAAAAUGACCAGCCUGGACUAUGAUAAUCGAUAACCAAAGUCGGUCCAAACUUAGCUGCAACCAAUCAAAGUAUAUGAAAUGAAAAAAGAAAAUAUAUAUCAUAAUAUACAAGUGUAAGUUACUAAUUGCAUCACAUGUAGAACCUGCAUCUUGAUAACUCUCUUUAGAGUUAUGUUCGAGAAAAAAAUAACUCUUUAAAGUUGCCUAAUUAAUUGCUGACCCAGCAGACGAGAUCGAUAGUUUAGUGCUUACGAAGUUACCAAUGCGAUAAAUGGGAGCUUGAUCAAUCACCAGCAUAACUAUUGUAACAACACCUUGAUACUCGGAUACUCCCCUCCCUCCCCCUCCCGGGUGGUGCCACUGUCAAGCUAAGAGCAACUCCAGCAAUAGCCCCAACUUGAAGCUCCUACUUUUCUGAGUAGGGGCUCCUCCUACUUUCUGGAUCCAUGUUUUUUACUCUCCACUCCAGCAACAGCCCCUACUUUCAUUAUGACAAACGGGACCAACAUGUCAGUGUCUUAUUUUCUCCUUAUAUUUUUUUAUUGUUUUCCGUACAUCUCCGUUUCUCUCCUCUGUUUCUCUCCCGCACAGAUCUCCCUCGCCUCCGCUCGAUUGACCGCGGCUUCCCUCUGAAAGCAAAAGAAACGAGUCGCUCCUCCUUUGCCGGAUAGCAUAGCUCGGAUGGCCAGCCUCCAACUGGUGAGCUCGGGACAGACGAGCUGGGGGCGGCCGUGGAGGGCACCACGGCCUACGCGCUCAGGGUGGCGAGCUCGGCCCAACCACGGCGGGAUGCAGGCGAGGACAACGACGGGGUGGGCCCCGGCAUAGGUACGACUUCUCUCUCAUCUCUCUGAUCCUCUUCAGCCACGAGGCCCAGCCACAGCGGGAUGCAGGCGAGGAUGACGAUGGGGUCGGGAUUGGCGGCGCUUGGAGGCCAGCAAGCGCACGACGCAUGGGGCUAGGCGCGCGGGAUGGAUGACGAGCAACGCAUGGACCAGGCACGCAGAGUGGAGCGGCAAGCGACACGCGGGCCAGGCGAGCAGCCGGGCGAGGAGUGGUCACCGCGGCGGGGGCAGGACCCCAGGCUCCGUGGCGGCGGAAUCGAUCCGCCGGCAAGCAAAUCGGAUGGGGGUGGCGACGGAUUCGUCGACAUAGAGGCUGGAGGGAGCUGGCCGGAGGACUUUGUGGAGGCUGGAGGACGGCGACGCACGAGGAAGAAGCAAAUGGGGGAGAAGAAGCGGAUGCGUGCGAGUCGAAACAGAAAAAACUACUGAGUAGGGGCCUCCCCAGCCACCCGUGGGAGAUGGGGCUGGGAGGGUGGAUUUGGGUGCCUCCCUACUCUAGGGACCCGAGUAGAGACCCUGCUAGAGUUGUGUUUUUGCCUCUCGGCCCCUACUUUUUGAGUAGGGGCCUUGUUGGAGUUGCUCUUGAAUGGAAGCAAGGACAAAGCACUAUGAGAGGAGCAAUGGCUGUGUAGCAUUGAUCUGAUCAGGCCAAGGGAGGCUGCAUCGUGGAUGUGACAAGGCAGGGGGAAGAAUAUGGACUGGCUGGUUCACUGCUGCUAUUUUGCUACAGUCGCGCACCUCUCUUAAGAACAACUGCGUGAGCAGGCCAGCAAGGGUUUUGUUUUUUGUUUGUUUUUUUACCUGUAGAGGAUAACAGAAAGAAACUCUGAAGAACUUUGAGUAACUUGGUGAAGAUCCUUGAUCUAGUUGCAGCCAUCCUGCAAGUUCUUAUAUCGUGCAUUAUGGUGCAAGUUACUCCACUACAAACUAUUAAGUUCUUUGAACUCCACCUUCACACAACCCAAAAAGAUUUCAAAAUUAUGACAACAUAAAAAAAUAGCCAUUUCUAGGAUACUUUAUCUUUCGACUUUCACUCAUAUCACUAAUUAUUGUUUUAGUCUUCUCUAGCAUCAUUCCACACUAAAAGAAAAAACAACUCUUGCAGAGUAGCAGAAUGAGAACGUGAACUUUCAAGAGGAAGUUCAAAGCCACAAGAGGGAAAUGCUUCAAUAGUAAAAGGAUUGACCUGAAAUUCCUUGAUGAGAUCAAUAUGCAGCAUAUCCAUCAUAGCAAGAUGACCUUUACGUCCGCCUACUAGCAUGUAGCGGCCAUUUGAUGUGUACUCUAUAGUAUAAGGACCAAGUACUGCAAAAAACAAGAGCCAGUAGCCCAUAGCCCUCAGUGAUCAUAAUCACCAAAGUUAAUAUAGAACAUACAGAUUUCUGGAUCAACCACAAUUGGAACUGGACAUGCAUGUAGGAUUUGGUACAUUAUUAUGUAGAAGCAUUAGCGAACCAAAAGACAACUAUUAGGGAUUUUUUUAAUUCUACAGGAUCAUGUAGGAUCAACAAGGAAAUAAUAUCAAACAGUUAGCAACUGGAUUUGAUAAGAGCAAAAGACAAAUUAUGUUGGCAAUAAUUCAUAGAACACUAAAAACGGUUAACAAAUUUACCAGGUAAGAUCAUAUCGAAUGGUUUUCUUGAACUCAAAAGAUCCACCUCCUUCACAAUCGAUUCUUGUGGAAAUCUAUAUGUCUUCUCCAAACCAUCAGGCUCUAAGAAACCCUCCUCACUAGGCAUAAGCCACUGCAAAUGGAGUAAAAGAAAUCCGAAAAGGACAAAUUUUGAAAUUAACAACAGCUAAUUGAAAAGUAUAGCCAUCAAGUUAUGAGAGUAGUAAGUCAAACUAAGGAAAUUCAUUGCUGUUCUAACAAACAUAUUUAAGUUAUACAAGAAAGUCCCUAGGACUGGAUUCAAAACAGUAGGCAUUCCAUGGUCCAUGCCACAAUUGGCUAAGAGCUAGGAGCUGAUCUAAGACAACAAAAAUUGUGCUCCAAAGCGAGUAUGUUUAAACUUAGCAACAGUACUUUCAGGCCAAUGCAUAAAAAACUACAAACAGAUCUUCCUGAGGCUUUAUCUUUUUUCCAGUAAUGCUUUAGCGGCUCAGAUACUACUUAGAAUGCUAGCCCUAUAUGUGCAACUACUCACUUCAUCAGUUCAUCCAAAUCAGAUUCCUGUGAAGCAGCUAAACAUCAGUUGGGUCAAUGGGUGGUACAAAAACAAACUACAAAAGUCGCAGGUUUUCAGUAUCAUAUUUAGGGCCUGUUUGGAUAUGCUAUUGCCAAAGUUUAGUAAGUGCUAAAGUUUAGCACUUCCACCCAUUAGCACUCCCUUUUGGAGACAUGGCUAAUGGAUAGAGCUAAAGUUCAUGAAAUGUCACUCACUUUUACCCCUUCAUCUCCUCACCUUCCACCUUUCUCUCUCCCCUUUUGGUCUUUUCACAAGCCAUUAGCACCCAUUACCUCCUCCCCACCAGCUAAUGCUUUUUUACACUUUUUUUUUUUUGGGGGGGGGGGGGGGGGUUGCUAAAGUUUAGCCCUCCCGUUUGGAUGUGCUAAUGCAUAGGUGCUAAACAUUAGCACCUUCAUCCAUUAGCACUUGGAUCCAAACAGGCCCUUACUUGUCUCAUCCAACUAACGUUCACAGUGACACCUAAGAUUCUAGUGAGACACCAAGUUGCAUAUUUUGCAAUCCAAGUAUAAAUUUGUAGACAUUUUGAAGAAAUUCACAAGCAUGCAAGAAAAAGGGGCGACCUGUUCAGCCUUUGCAGCAGCUUUCGCAGACUGGCCAUAGAGCUUCUCUUUGACAACGAGCUGGCCUUUCAACUUCUUGUCCUUAAGCGCCUACGGAGCCAUUCCAAAACCAAACAAGUCAAUGAGCAGUUUCAAGAGUAAGAUAGUAACAUAGCUGGCCCAACAAAUUGAUUCCAAAGUAGCAUGAUUAGCACUUGUAAGAGCACAAUAACGGAUUACCUUCAAGUCAGCACCCUUCCCCCGCGCAUACUUCUCCACCUUCAUCUCCAGCUCGUCCUCAGCGUCCUGCUAGCGCCAUUAAUGCAGCGAAUGAUAGAUAAGCAUAAGAUGGCCGCAUGAAUGGGGAGAAAAAUAAGCGAAUCUCUUAAAAACAUUUUCGGCAUUCACCCGCGCCGGUGCCAUGGCGACGCCCCAACGCAGAAGACGGCAGCAGGCCGACAAGCUAGCGCUGCCUGUUUGGGGGAGCUUCUCCGGUUUGCUUUUCGGAAGGGCGGCGCCGCCGGGAGGGGGGCGGGGCGGCUUGGAGCAGCGGCGCGCGAGCGUCCCGUCGAGGGUAGGGGCGCGGCGAUGUCUGCCGAGGAGGGCUAGGCGGCGGCCCUGGACGGAAGGACGGCGGCGGCAAGGACGGGGAUGGGAGCUCAGAGCGGCGUCAGCUGUCGAGGGAAGAGAGCAGCGACGGUCGUCGAGAAGAGCUUCGCGCGGCGGCAGCCGUUGAGGGAAGGGAGCGGCGACGGCUCUCGACGGGACGGCGGCCCGGUGGCGACGAGGGCGGCCGGACUCGCAGCGACGGCCUACAGGGGAUGGAGCCGCCAAACGUGGCACCGGUAGUAGGGUUUUUCUCCCUUCGUGGUCGUAGACAGACUCACGGGCUGCCCAGGCUGGGCUUGCUGUUUCCAUGCUUCCCCGACGGGCUGGGCUGCCCAGGCUGAGCGUACGAGGAGUUGGGCUGCAUUAGUGCCGACUGUUGAUCGUGGGCUGUCGGAAUUGGAUGAUAUGUUAGGUGACUCCAUAACAGCGGCCAUAUUCGCUAACGAGCUAACGGGCCAUAUUCGCUAACGAGCUAACGGGCCAUAUCCGCUGCAGUGGCCGUUCCACUCGGAUGGAUCAGGAUGAAAAAUUCACAUCGAAAACGAAACAAGAAGCUAGCUGUGGGCCUAGUAGUGCUCGGCCUUCCGCCAAUCGUAUCCGGUUUCCGGAAGCCCGUGGCUUCCACUGUUUGACAUUCGUGCGUGCAUCCUCAUCCGUCCGAUGCGUUCCCUUCUCUCUCAACCCUAACCUGCUCCUUCUCUCCUCGAGCCGCCGCCCGCCUUGCUGCUGCCACCUGCGCUUCGCCGUCCGGCGGCCGCCGCCCCGGCCGAGGAGCUCCACCGCCGGGCCCUGCGGCCGCGCGCCUCCGGUGGCGCUGCGGCCGCGUCACUGCCCCCGCCCCCACUCCUCCCCCGAUGCGCUGACGGAGCACGACGUGAGGUGCGUGCACCCAUCGCCAUCAUCCCAUCCCGUCCCUUGCAAACGCAACUGCUGCUUGCAUUUCUGGUUUGCUUCCUCCGCUAGCCGCUGCCUGCCGCGCCAUCGUCGAUGCAUGCGUUUGGAUUCCUUCGCCUGCCUGCUCUAGUUGAAUAAUUUUGAAUCCAUCCAAGCAACGAAGCUAAGUGACCCGGCCGCCGGACCCUAGAUUGACGAGUACCUGCGCUAGUACUAACAGGUCUGGAUAUAUAUAGUAUGUUGUGCGCGUGGCUUGUUUCUACUGGAUGUGAUUGUGCGCGUGGCUUGUUCUCCUACUGGAUGUGCUUGCGCGCGUGGUUUGUUCUGAUUAUUCUCCGGUUGAUUGAACUCUGAACUGUGUUGUUCUUCUGCUCCUGGAAGUGACUGAUUUUUCUCCAGUUGAUUGGACUCUGAACUCCUAAUCCAUGGAUUGAUAUAUUUUGUUGUCAACUACAAAUAGCAUAACUCCAUAUCAUCCAGUCUGUGUGCAUCCAUCUAGUGUGCUUAGUUCCAUCUAUCAAUCGAUUGGGUUGGCUGUUUGCGAAUGACUACUACCAGUCGACCGUAUAGGUUGGUUUGUGUGAUUUCUUAGAGAGUUAGCUUCCUUGUUGAACAGCGAGGCCAUGCUAUUUGUUCAUCUCGAUCGACCUUGCUCGUCUAAUAGUCCCGCUCGGCUUAAUUGCAUGUGUAGUCGACUUAAUCUGUGGGUCAGGCAUGAUAGAAAUUCAAAUUUUGUGACAUCGAUCUGCUACUGGAGUUGAGUUGAUUACCACUCUAGCUAUUAGCUGACUAGCUGCUUGCUGACCUCCAUGGGUUGGGUUCAUUCUGGGUGCACGUGCUUACGAGGUCCCUGAACAAGCCGCACGUCUUGGAGGCCCUUUUCUGUGGUGUGCACUCUUUCCACCUUCUCUAGCGAAACACAUGACCCAUCACAUCCAGCCCACCAGGUCUACGUAGUGCCUCCCAGUUUAUUGGACUCGAGAGUAUAUGAUGCCCAUCAUAUAAUACAGAUAUAAUUCUAGUACUAUGUACACAUACAAGCUAGUAUAUUUUUACUGUACUCCACACAUGGCUCAUCACAUCCAGCCCAUCAGGUCUACGCAGUGCCCCCUAGUUUAUUGGGCUAGAGAGUAUAUGAUGCCCAUCAUGUAGUACAGAUGUACUUCUAGUACUAUGUACACAUACAAGUAGUAUAUUUUCACUGCACUGGAGUAGUUAAAUUAAUAAUGACACAUUUACAAUAUCCUGGGCAUUGCUAAUUAAUUAAGGCGCGCCAAUAUACUCGUACCCGUAGGAACUACGACCAGCUGCCACCUGAAAGCAUUCAUGCAAAGAGGAUAGAAGAACACACCAUGUCCGUGGUAAGGCUGUGCAUCCCAAGAACUAAGAAGAACAAAGGACUUGGCAUUGGUUUUAUCGUGGUCAACACCGCAAACAAGCUUGUGGUCAUGACUUGUGGCUACUCGUUAAAUGAAUGGGUUAAGGGCACAAAGGUAGGCGUCACAUUCUAUGACAGGAGAGAUUCUAGUGCCGAAGCGAUGUGGGUUAAUACAGAGAAGGAGGUUGCAUUGCUUCUCAUAAGUACCUCUCCAAUCUCGAACUCUCUGAGUAUCCUACUGUCUAUUUCUCGUACGAUGAUGUUAGAGUUGGGCUAAAUACAUGUCCUAUCAUAUCCAGCCCAUCAGGUCUACGCAGUGCCCCCAGUUUAUUGGGCUAGAGAGUAUACGAUGCCCAUCAUGUAGUACAGAUGUACUUCUAGUACUAUAUACACAUACAACCUAGUAUAUUUUCAGCUCGAUAGCAUUAAUGCAAAGAGGAUAGAAGAAGAACACGCCAUGUCCGUGGUAAGGCUUUACAUCGCAAGAAGUAAGAAGAACAAAGGACGUGGCACCGGUUUUAUCGUGGUCAACACCGCGAACAAGCUUGUGGUGAUGACCUGUGGCCACCCGUUAAAUGAAUGGGUUAGGGGCACAAAGGUAGGCGUCACAUUCCAUGACAUGGGAGAUGCCAGUGCCGAAGCGGUGUGGGUUAAUACAGAGAAGGAGGUUGCAUUGCUUCUCAUAGAUACCUCUUCUAAUCCUGAACUCUCUGCGUAUCCUGCUGUCGAUUUCUCGUACGAUGACGUUGGAGUUGGAGAUUUUCUCGUGACGCUUGGGCAUCCUCAUGGCAUGCGAGGCUAUCACGAUGUAUGGAACAAUUUCGGCUUAGUCACCUAAGUUGCUUCCAUCCUAAAACAGCUACUGUUAAUCACGUACGAAUAAUUAACACACGUGCGCGCACACAGAGGCGUACAGUGCAUGCAUAUUGAUAGUAGCUAACGUGCACUACAUGAAUGUAUACUUGCAGCAAGGAGGUCGGUCCUACUGCCACUGGUUUGGGCAGUAUUGUCCAAAUAUUUAACUAGUGGUGACUUUGCCACCGGUCCGGGCGCGUGCGGCUCACCAGUUUUUGGAGUAGAUGGCCGGGUGGUAGGCAUGAUCAUCUCUGGAGUCCAAGAUAUGACAUAUGUUUCUUUCAGUGGGGUGGAUAUGGGAGACACUACAGAUGUACUUCUAGUACUAUGUAUGUGUCUAGUAUACGUUCACUGUACUCCACACAUGGCCCAUCACAUCAAGCCCAUCAGGUCGACGCAGUACCGUGGUAAGGCUGUGCAUCGCAAGAAGUAAGAAGAACAAAGGACGUGGCACCGGUUUUAUCGUGGUCAACACCGCGAACAAGCUUGUGGUGAUGACCUGUGGCCACCCGUUAAAUGAAUGGGAAUGGGUUAGGGGCACAAAGGUAGGCGUCACAUUCCAUGACAUGGGAGAUGCUAGUGCCGAAGCGGUGUGGGUUAAUACAGAGAAGGAGGUUGCAUUGCUUCUCAUAGAUACCUCUUCUAAUCCUGAACUCUCUGCGUAUCCUGCUGUCGAUUUCUCGUACGAUGACGUUGGAGUUGGAGAUUUUCUCGUGACGCUUGGGCAUCCUCAUGACAUGCGGGGCUAUCACGGUAUGGAACAAUUUUGGCUUGGUCACCUAAGUUUCUUCUAUCCUGAAACAGCUACUGUUAAUCACGUACGAAUAAUUAACACACGCGCGCGCACACAGAGGCGUACAGUGCAUGCAUGUUGAUAUUUGCUAACGUGCACUACAUGGAUGUAUACUUGCAGCAAGGAGGUCGGUCCUACUGCCACUGGUUUGAUCAGUAUUGUCCAAAUAUUUAAUUAGUGGUGACUUUGCCACCGGUCCGGGCGCGUGCGGCUCACCAGUUUUUGGAGUAGAUGGCCGGGUGGUAGGCAUGAUCAUCUCUGGAGUCCAAGAUAUGACAUAUGUUCUUUCAGUGGGGUGGAUAUGGGAGACACUACAGAUGUACUUCUAGUACUAUGUAUUUGUCUAGUAUACGUUCACUGUACUCCACACAUGGCCCAACACAUCAACCCAUAAGGUCGACACAGUGCCCCCCAGUUUAUUGGGCGAGAGAGGAUAUGGUGCCCAUCAUGUAGUACAGAUGUAUUUCUCGUACUAUGUACACAUACACUGUGCUCCACACCUGGCCCAUCACAUCCAGCCCGUCAGGUCUAUGCAGUGCCCCUCAAUUUUUUGGGCUAGAGAGUAUAUGAUGCCCAUCAUGUAGUACAGAUGUACUUAUAGUACUAUGUACACAUUCAAGCUCGUAUAUUUUCACUGCACUGGAGUAGUUAAAUUAAUAAUGGCACAUUUACAAUAUCCUAGCAUUGCUAAUUAAUUAAGGCGCGCCAGUAUACUCGUACCCGUAGGAACUAUGACCAGCUGCCACCCGGAAGCAUUCAUGCAAAGAAGAUAGAAGAAGAAGACGCCAUGUCCGUGGUAAGGCUGUGCAUCGCAAGAACAAAGAAGAACAAAGGACGUGGCACCGGUUUUAUCGUGGUCAACACCGCGAACAAGCUUGUGGUCAUGACCUGUGGCCACCCGUUAAAUGAAUGGGUUAGGGGCACAAAGGUAGGCGUCAUAUUCCAUGACAUGGGAGAUGCUAGUACCGAAGCGGUGUGGGUUAAUACAGAGAAGGAGGUUGCAUUGCUUCUCAUAGAUACCUCUUCCAAUCCUGAACUCUCUGCGUAUCCUGCUGUCGAUUUCUCGUACGAUGACGUUAGAGUUGGAGAUUUUCUCCUGACGCUUGGGCAUCCGCAUGGCAUGCGGAGCUAUCACGAUGUAUGGAACAAUUUCGGCUUGGUCACCUAACUUUCUUCCAUCCUAGAACAGCUACUGUUGAUCACGUACGAAUAAUUAACACACGUGUGCGCACACAGUGCAUGCAUAUUGAUAGUAGCUAACGUGCACUACAUGAAUGUAUACUUGCAGCAAGGAGGUCGGUCCUACUACCACUGGUUUGGGCAGUAUUGUCCAAAUAUUUAAUUGGUGGUGACUUUGGCACCGAUCCGGGCACGUGCGGCUCACCAGUUUUUGCAGUAGAUGGCCGAGUGGUAUUCAUGACCAUCUCUGACGUCCAAGAUAUGACAUAUGUUCUUUCAGUGGGGUGGAUACGGUAGACACUACAGAUGUACUUCUAGUACUAUGUAUGUGUCUUGUAUAGGUUAAUUUUACUCCACACAUGACCCAUCACAUCAAGCCAAUCAGGUCGACGCAGUGCCCCCCCCCCAUUUUAUUGGGCUAGAGAGGAUAUGAUGCCCAUCAUGUAAUACAGAUGUAUUUCUAGUACUAUGUACACAUACACUGUACUCCACACAUGACCCAUCACAUCCAGCCCAUCAAGUCUAUGCAGUGCCCCUCAGUUUAUUGGGCUAGAGAGUAUAUGAUGCCCAUCAUGUAGUACAGAUGUACUUCUAGUACUAUGUACACAUACAAGCUCGUAUAUUUUCACUGCAAUGGAGUAGUUAAAUUAAUAAUGGCACAUUUUACAAUAUCGUGGGCAUUGCUAAUUAAUUAAGGCGCGCCAGUAUACUCGUACCCACAGGAGCUAUGACCAGCUGCCACCCGGAAGCAUUCAUGCAAAGAGGAUAGAAGAAGAACACGCCAUGUCCGUUGUAAGGCUGUGCAUCGCAAGAACUAAGAAGAACAAAGGACGUGGCACCGGUUUUGUCGUGGUCAACACCGCGAACAAGCUUGUGGUCAUGACCUGUGGCCACCCGUUAAAUGAAUGGGUUAGAAGCACAAAGGAAUGCAUCACAUUCCAUGACAUGGGAGAUGCUAGUGCCGAAGCGGUGUGGGUUAAUACAGAGAAGGAGGUUGCAUUGCUUCUCAUAGAUACCUCUUCUAAUCCUGAACUCUCUGCGUAUCCUGCUGUUGAUUUCUCGUACGAUGACGUUGGAGUUGGAGAUUUUCUCGUGACGCUUGGGCAUCCUUAUGGCAUGCGGGGCUCACGAUGUAUGGAAUAAUUUCGGCUUGGCCACCUAAGUUGUUUCCAUCCUAAAACAGAUACUGUUAAUCACGUACGAAUAAUCAACACACGUGCGCGCACACAGAGGCGUACAUUGCAUGCAUAUUGAUAUUUGCUAACGUGCACUACAUGAAUGUAUACUUGCAGCAAGGAGGUCGGUCGUACUGCCACUGGUUUGAGCAGUAUUGUCCAAAUAUUUAAUUAGUGGUGACUUUGGCACCGGUCUGGGCGCGUGCGGCUCACCAGUUUUUGGAGUAGAUGGCCGGGUGGUAGGCAUGAUCAUCUCUGGAGUCCAAGAUAUGACAUAUGUUUCUUUCAGUGGGGUGGAUAUGGGAGACACUACAGAUUUACUUCUAGUACUAUGUAUGUGUCUAGUAUACGUUCACUGUACUCCACACAUGGCCCAUCAUAUGAAGCCCAUCAAGUCGACGCAGUGCCCCCCAGUUUAUUGGGCGAGAGAGGAUAUGGUGCCCAUCAUGUAGUACAGAUGUAUUUCUCGUACUAUGUACACAUACACUGUACUCCACACACGGCCCAUCACAUCCAGCCCAUCAGAUCUAUACAGUGCCCCUCAAUUUUUUGGGCUAGAGAGUAUAUGAUGCCCAUCAUGUAGUACAGAUGUACUUUUAGUACUGUGUACACAUACAAGCUCGUAUAUUUUCACUGCACUGGAGUAGUAAAAUUAAUAACGGCUCAUUUACAAUAUCCUAGCAUUGCUAAUUAAUUAAGGCGCGCCAGUAUACUCGUACCCGUAGGAACUAUGACCAGCUGCCACCCGGAAGCAUUCAUGCAAAGAAGAUAGAAGAAGAAGACGCCAUGUCCGUGGUAAGGCUGUGCAUCGCAAGAACUAAGAGGAACAAAGGACGUGGCACCGGUUUUAUCGUGGUCAACACCACGAACAAGCUUGUGGUGAUAACCUGUGGCCACCCGUUAAAUGAAUGGGUUAGGGGCACAAAGGUAGGCGUCAUAUUCCAUGACAUAGGAGAUGCUAGUGUCGAAGCUGUGUGGGUUAAUAUAGAGAAGGAGGUUGCAUUGCUUCUCAUAGAUACCUCUUCCAAUCCUGAACUCUCUGCGUAUCCUGCUGUCGAUUUCUCGUACGAUGACGUUGGAGUUGGAGGUUUUCUCGUGACGCUUGGGCAUCCUCAUGGCAUGCGGGGCUAUCACGAUGUAUGGAACAAUUUCGGCUUGGUCACCUAAGUUGCUUCCAUCCUAAAACAGCUACUGUUAAUCACGUACGAAUAAUUAACACACGUGCGCGCACACAGAGGCGUACAGUGCAUGCAUAUUGAUAUUUGCUAACGUGCAACUACAUGAAUGUAUACUUGCAGCAAGGAGGUCGGUCCUACUGCCACUGGUUUGGGCAGUAUUGUCCUAAUAUCUAAUUAGUGGUGACUUUGCCACCGGUCCGGGCGCGUGCGGCUCAUCAGUUUUUGGAGUAGAUGGCUGGGUGGUAGGCAUGAUGAUCUCUGGAGUCCAAGAUAUGACAUAUGUUUCUUUCAGUGGGGUGGAUAUGGGAGACACAACAGAUGUACUUGUAGUACUAUGUAUGUGUCUAGUAUACGUUCACUGUACUCCACACAUGACUCAUCACAUAGUGCCCAUCAGGUCAAUGCAGUGCCCCCCCUGUUUAUUGGGCGAGAGAGGAUAUGGUGCCCAUCAUGUAGUACAGAUGUAUUUCUCGUACUAUGUACACAUACACUGUACUCCACACAUGGCCCAUCACAUCCACCCCAUCAGGUCUAUGCAGUGCCCCUCAAUUUUUUGGGCUAGAGAGUAUAUGCCCAUCAUGUAGUACAGAUGUACUUCUAGUACUAUGUACACAUACAAGCUCGUAUAUUUUCACGGCACUGGAGUAGUUAAAUUAAUAAUGGCACAUUUACAAUAUCCUGGGCAUUGCUAAUUAAUUAAGGCGCGUCAGUAUACUCGUACCCGUAGGAACUAUGACCAGCUGCCACCCGGAAGCAUUCGUGCAAAGAGGAUAGAAGAAGAACACGCCAUGUCCGUGGUAAGGCUGUGCAUCGCAAGAACAAAGAAGAACAAAGGACGUGGCACCGGUUUUGUCGUGGUCAACACCGCGAACAAGCUUGUGGUCAUGACCUGUGGCCACUCGUUAAAUGAAUGGGUUAGGGGCACAAAGGAAUGCAUCACAUUCCAUGACAUGGGAGAUGCUAGUGCCGAAGCGGUGUGGGUUAAUACAGAGAAGGAGGUUGCAUUGCUUCUCAUAGAUACCUCUUCCAAUCCUGAACUCUCUGCGUAUCCUGCUGUCGAUUUCUCGUACGAUGACGUUAGAGUUGGAGAUUUUCUGGUGACGCUUGGGCAGCCUCAUGGCAUGCGGGGCUAUCACGAUGUAUGGAGCAAUUUCGGCGUGGUCACCUAAGUUGCUUCCAUCCUAAAACAGCUACUGUUAAUCACGUACGAAUGAUUAACACACGUGCGCGCACACAGUGCAUGCAUAUUGAUAGUAGCUAACGUGCACUACAUGAAUGUAUACUUGCAGUAAGGAGGUCGGUUCUACUGGCACUGGUUUGGGCAGUAUUGUCCAAAUAUUUAAUUGGUGGUGACUUUGGCACCGGUCCGGGCGCGUGCGGCUGACCAGUUUUUGGAGUAGAUGGCCAGGUGGUAGGCAUGAGCGUCUCUGGAGUCCAAGAUAUGACAUAUGUUCUUUCAAUGGGUUGGAUUUGGGAGACACUACAGAUGUACUUCUAGUACUAUAUAUGUGUAUAGUAUACGUUCACUGUACUCCACACAUGGCCCAUCACAUCAAGCCCAUCAGGUCUACGCAGUGCCCCCAGUUAGUUGGGCAAGAGAGGAUAUGAUGCCCAUCAUGUAGUACAGAUGUAUUUCUAGUAUUAUGUACACAUAUACUGUACUCCACCCAUGGCCCAUCACAUCCAGCCCAUCAGGUCUAUGCAGUGCCCCUCAGUUUAUUGGGCUAGAGAGUAUAUGAUGCCCACAUGUAGUACAGAUGUACUUCUAGUACUAUGUCCACAUAGAAGCUAGUAUAUUUUCACUACACUGGAGUAGUUAAAUUAAUAAUGGCACAUUUACAAUAUCCUGGGCAUUGCUAAUUAAUUAAGGCUUUGUAACCGCAGAAACUAUGACCAGCUGCCACUCGAAAGCAUUCAUGCAAAGAGGAUAGACGAAGAACACGCCAUGUCCGUGGUAAGGCUGUGCAUCACAAGAACUAAUUAGAAUAAAGGACGUGGCACCGGUCUUAUCGUGGUCAACACCGCGAACAAGCUUUUGGUCAUGACCUAUGGCCACCCGUUAAAUGAAUGGGUUAGGGGCACAAAGGUAGGCGUCACAUUCCAUGACAUGAGAGAUGCUAGUGCCGAAGCGGUGUGGGUUAAUAUAGAGAAGGAGGUUGCAUUACUUCUCAUAGAUACCUCUUCCAAUCCUGAACUCUCUGCGUAUCUUGCUAUCGAUUUCUCGUACGAUGACGUUGGAGUUGGAGAUUUUCUCGUGACACUUGGGCAUCCGCAUGGCAUGCGGAGCUAUCACGAUGUAUGGAACAAUUUCGGUUUGGUCACCAAACUUUCUUCCAUCCUAAAACAGCUACUGUUAAUCACGUAAGAAUAAUUGACACACGUGUGCGCACACAGUGCAUGCAUAUUGAUAGUAGCUAACGUGCACUACAUGAAUGUAUACUUGCAGCAAGGAGGUCGGUCCUACUGCCACUGGUUUGGGCAGUAUUGUCCAAAUAUUUAAUUAGUGGUGACUUUGUCACAGGUCCGGGCGCGUGCGGCUCACCUAUUUUUGGAGUAGAUGGCCGGGUGGUAGGGAUGAUCAUCUCUGGAGUCCAAGAUAUGACAUAUGUUCUUUCAGUGGGGUGGAUAUGGGAGACACUACAGAUGUACUUCUAGUACUAUGUACACAUACAAGCUAGUAUAUUUUCACUGCACUGGAGUAGUUAAAUUAAUAAUGGCACAUUUACAAUAUCCUGGGCAUUGCUAAUUAAUUAAGGCGCGCCAGUAUACUCGUACCUGCAGGAACUAUGACCAGUUGCAUCCCGGAAGCAUUGAUGCAAAGUAUGGCGGAACCACCUCUGAUUAACUUAACUAAAGCACGGUUAAGUCGCCUGACGUGCGAUCCUCAUGCCUUAAUCAAGUUAACUCGAUGUGCCUGUGACGGCCUCGGACAAAAAUCCUACGCGUCAAUCUUAAUACGAGCCCCUGAUCACCUGUCUUAGUUUUUCCAAGCCUAAGUGUUCAACCUCCAGCUCUUUCAACCCCUGCGAUCCGACCCCUCGCCGUGGUCUUUCCAGUUCCGACCCCGCCGACCCUCAACCCCCGUCGGAUCUUCCUAAGCCAUCCCGCAGCAUUGCCCUCCAGUUCGAGCAGUGGACCACCGAGACUGACCGGUGGGCCCACUAGAUCUUUUCCCCUAGAUCUCCCGUGACAGGCGCACUCGAGUUGCAUGCCCGCUUCAGUUUUUCCCCGCCGCGUGGCUCAACUCCUCUGACGUCCGCCGCUCCGCCUCGUCUCCGGCCCGCGACAAGAUGGAUUCUCGCGCCCCCUUCCCCAAUCGCGGCAGAAGCCCCUCUGCAACCCUUUCUGCAGUACCUCGCCGCCCGCGCCCAUCAUCACAUCGCCAGAUCCCGGCCGCAGAGCCUGAUGCCGCCCGUCUUUUCUGUCACCUCGCCACAGACGCGCUGCCCCGGUCUUUGCUACACGACGAUUCCUCCUUCGCCAACCCAAACCGCGGCAGCGACAGCUCCUUUUUUCCGCCCUGUCAGAAGCCGCUCCGACAAUCUGUUGCUCCGCGCUCGCCCGCGCGCCCGCAGCCGCCUGUCUUCUCACCUGUGCGCCCUCGAUCCUAGUGCUGUUUUCCCGGUCACUUCCAUCAGAUCCACCGCACGACGACGCCCGCCUCCGCCAAAUCUCAACCACCAGCAAACCCGCGCCUGCGCCGCCCUGACGUCAGGGCCCAAUGACCGCCGGCGUCAUCCCCGAAGUCCUUCUUCACCGCCCUCGUCGCUCAAUCGCCGCCCGGGCAGAGCACUCCAUCGCUUCUUCCCCGGCCUUCGCGCCGCUCCCCCUUCUCACUCCCGCGCAGCUAUAAAAGGGAAUGCAGAAGUCCUGCCGGAGUUUUCCCUCUGCCCUAGCUGCCAUCUCUCUUGCUCCCUGUUCGAACUCACAGCGCCACCACCUAAGUCUGAGGAACUCUCCUCUGUGCUCAAGCACCACCGAUUUCCCUGAUUCGCCAGCCACUGCUUUCAGUGCUGCCCAAGAGCUUGCUUGUGAUCCACAAGAAGCACCGCCGCCGCCGGACUUUCUCGCCGCCAUCCCAAGCCCUUAGUUCUUCCGCCCAAGCCUCCUCUGUAAGACGAAGGUAGGCUGCCGACCCUUGUUCGCUUCGCCCGACUCCUCUUAUCCGCCCGACCCUGGUUCCAUCUCGCCCGACCCUGUCUGUUCCGCCGACCCUUCUCCGCCUCGCCUGAGGGCUCGACUGUAUCUUUUUCUUUGAACUGAGGGUGUAUGUGUAAAACUUGGGGACCUUUCAGCGUUGAGUCUGAGGACCCCUAGUACAUCAAACCCUCUAGAUUAAGGGUCAGAUCAUAAGUUUUUUCCCCUCCGACCCUUACCUCUUGAUCUCCAUCAACUCCUUUGAACCUCCCCACCCUCCUGUAACUUGUCGCAAGUUUCUGGGCUCAGACUUGCAAGUUUUGCUGUUGAAAUAACCGUCUAUGCUAACCAAUGCAUUGCAUUUGUGUAGAGCUGCGUCUCGCCGACGGCUACUACGAGCUGCACCCGGCGCCAGAAGACGACGGUGUAGCUGAGCUUUUGCCCCCAGAAGCCGAAGCUGCCCCAGAAGUCGAGCAGUUCCCUUCCUCUUUGCUCGAAGGCAAGCCCCGGAUGCAUGAAUCCCCCUAUGUUUUACCAGACUUGCGCAUGCCUUCUUUAACAUGCUUGUGCAUUUACGUAUAGGAGUUGUUUGGAACCCUAGAUGCAUAACUUAGCUUCCGUGAUCUGAACACUAGCUGUUGGACCGAGUAGAUGCUUGCUUAAAUAGGAAACGGUAAAAGCCGAGUGAUUCCCUGUCACUCGCGAGUUGUAGGAGUUGGAUGUUUACUCUUCUGUCACAACUAUAAGGACGAUGGACGGGGCAGGGUUUUGGGUAACUCUUUGGUGGUCGGCUGAUCGCCCCGUCUGUCUAUGAAAAAUGCUAAGGCCCGACAGUGGUGGUGUUUGUGAUCAAGUGUUUGAAAGUACUAAUCUCAUACCUAGAAUGGGAUGGGGAAGCCUAGUACCUGAUUGAACUAGGGCGUGGCUUAUACCCCUGCUGUCCCUGGAACGAGGUUCCCAUGGUGCAUCAUGUGGGUGCAAGUGCGGUCACAGUACGGCAGAGGCCGGGACUGUGGAGCAUUGCAUGCCAAGGGAAGUUUGGACCUGACACGCGCCUGGGAAUUGAUGGGGACGACCGACACGGGAAGCGGCCCUUGUGGUGCGCGGAUGUCGUGAGAUUAGGUUCGCCAUGCAUGGUUAAGAAACUCGAAUCAAUUCGUCUGCCUCUCACAGUUUGAGACUGCUUGAUCGCUAUGUCACCUGAGUAAAUAAGGAAUCUGAUGAUGACAUGGUUUUGCUGAUGUUGUAUAUACCUUUGAUUGGUUCUAUGAUUGCUUAGAAUAGGUUACAAACUUAGAACGGAUAAUGAACUUAGAACCGGAGCUAAAACUUGAAAGUAGGGUUACCUUAGCGCUUUUGGCAAACAAACCCCUCAGCCAAAAAAACCCUUGCAUGUCUAGAAGAGGUAGUUUAGCGCGCUCCCUGUCGGUUAAGUCUUGUUGAGCUUAAUUAGUAGCUCAGCCUUGUUGUGGCUCUUCUUUUUCAGGUAAAGUUGCUGCUUCUGAGCCCCUUUCUGCUAGCACUUGGCCGCCCCAACUCCCUCCGGGUUGGACGGUCGAGUGGGAUCCCUCCUCGGACGGCGAGGAGAGGGAUCAGUGACGUCCCGGUUGGCCUCGGUUGGCCUCACCAGGGAUGUCCGACCCCGACGAAAUAGCUUCCGCUUGUUGUUUUAUCUUCGGUGGUUUUCUUUCAAACCUUGUAAACUCUGAUGAUGGUUUAUAACCAAACUAGAUGGUUAAUUUGCUUAACUUAGUGGACUUGUUGUAUUCUCUGGAACCGCUCACCUUCGGGUGGGUCUGUUAUUCGGUCCUGUUCAAGUGGUUAAAUCGGAUGAAAUCCGAUGGCACUUCGUGUUUACUCGGUUAGGCAUGAGCGUCGCGUGUCAUGCGACUAAAUCAUGUUUAACUAAGCAAAUCCGAAGUGGAUCCACCACAGUACCGUUGGAUUUCAUCCGAUUUAACCACUUAAUAGGAUCGAGUUAGCAUAGCUCACACGAAGGUGAGUGGUUCCAGAGAAUACAACAGAUCCAUAAUUUGAUUAACAAGUUGUUAACAAGUUUACAAAGGUUGAAAGAAACAACAGAAGUUAGAAACAAGCGGAAGCUACUCGUUGGGGUCGGAUAUCCCUGGUGAGGCCAGCCAGGACAUCAAUGAUCCCAUUCCCCACCGUCCGAGGAAGGAUCCCACUCGAUCGUCCAACCCGGAGGGAGCUGGGGCGGCAAGUGCCAGCAGCAAGCUCUGAAGCUGCAACUUCACCUGAAAAGAGAAGCCACAACAAGGCUGAGCUUCUAAGCUCAACAAGACUUAACCGACCGGUGAGAGAAACUAUUCCACCACGGCUAGACAUGCAAGGCUCUUUGGCUGAGGUGUUUUGUUUGCCAAAAGCGACUAUGUUAGGUCCUUGCUUUCAAAGUUUUAGCUCAGAUUCUAAGUUCAUUUACCAGUCUAUGUUGGCAACUUACACUAAGCAAACAUAGAUCCAAUUUUAUGUAUAUAAGCUCAUCAUCAAGACCAUGUCAUCAUCAGACUCCUUCAUUACUCAGUGUAGCAUUAUGAUCAAGCAGUCUCAAACUGUGAGAGGUAGACGAAUCGAUUCGAGUUCCUUAACCAUGCAUGAUGAACCUAACCUCACGAUAUCCGCGCACCAUCAGUUCCCUAACCCGUGUCGGGUCCACUUCCUUUGGUGCAAGGUUCCACAGACCCAGCCUCUGUCGUUCUGCGACCACACUUGCCACCACGUGCAGCCGUAGGGGAACUUCGUUCCAAGGACAGUGGAGCGACCGCUCACGUUUAGGUUCAAUCGGGUAUUAGGCUUCCAUAUCCCAUAUUGGGUAUGAGAUUAGUACUUUCAAACACUUAAUCACGAACACCGCCACUGUCGGGCCUUAACAGGUUCAGUAAACAGACGGGGCGAUCAGCCGACCACCAAAAGAGUUAACCAUAACCCUGCCCCGUCCAUUGUCCUUAUAGUUGUAACAGAAGAAAACAACCAACUCCUAUAACUCGCGAGUGACAGGAAAUCACUCAGCUUUUACCGCUUCCUAUUUAAGCAUUGCAACUACUCGACCCAACAGACUAGUGUACAUUUCAAAGGAACUAUGGCAUGCAUCUAUGGUUGCAAACAACUCCUAUACGUAAAUGCACAAUCAUGAGAAGGAAGGCAUGCGCAAGUUUGGAAAGAUGGGUUCAUGAUCCGGGGCUUGCCUUCAAGCGGAGAGGAGGGAAACUAGUCUUCAGCUGGGGCUGCUUCGGCUUCUGGGAUUGGCAGCUCAGCUACGGCUCUGUCUUCGGGCGCCGGGUGUAGCUCGUAGACGCCGUCAGCGAGACGUAACUCUACACGAAUGCAAAUGCAGGAGUUAGUGUUUAGACGGUUAUUUCAACACACUUGCAAGUUAAAGCUCGGACACUUGUAGCAAGGCUACAGAAAAGGUGGGGGAAGUUCACUUUAGUUGGUGGAGAACAGGAUAAAAGGGUCGGAUGGGGGAAAACUUGGGAUCUGACCCUUAAAGUUAAGAAAUAACUGUGUCGUGGUCCUCGGACUUAACACCGGGGAGUUCCCGAUAUUUUGCACAGAUACCCUCGGGUCAAGGAAAAGGAUACAGCCAAGCCCUUUGGCGAGAUGAUAAGGGUCGGCGAAACAGAUAGGGUCGAGCGAGGCGAAAAAGGGGCUAGGCGAAUCGUAAAGGGGUCGGCAGCUUACCUUCAGGUUUAUAGGUGAAGCUUGGGGUCGGGAAGGAGCAGACUUGGGUGGAAGGACUUAAGCACUAAGGCUUGGGCGGCGGCGAGGUUGGACAAUGCUCCGGCGGCGGCGGAGCUUCUUGUGGGCAACAAAGAAGCUCUAGCACACCACGAAGGAGCAGACGGCUGGGUGGACUGGGGAGAAGCGGACUUGAGUGGAGAGGGGAACUUUUCGAGAUUUCAGCGGGAUUGCUCAAGUGCGCUCAGAGUAGGGGAGGUGAAACAGCAAGGGCGAAGGAAGUCCGGUGGAACUCUGGCAUUCCUUUUUAUAGCUGCGCGGAAGAGAGAGAUUUCGAGCAGCACGAAGACCGGGAAGAAAAGGAUGGGGUGCGCUGCCAUGAUGGCGAUUGAGCGGCGAUGGGCGGCGGAACAGGACCUUGGAGAUAGAGUCUUCGGCCAUUGGGCACUGGAGACAAGGCGGAGCAGGCGCGGUUUUGCCGGGGUUUAGAUUUGGCGGAGGUGAGCGUAGCCUGGUCGCGUCGAGCGGCGGAUUUGACUGGUGUGACAGGGGGAAAGGCGCUACAAGCGAGGUUGCAACAGGUGAAGUGAUAGGGCGAGCAGCGGCGCGAGCAAGCGCGAAACAGCGGCAUUGCCGAAGCACGUCACUGGUGGGGCGAGAAAAGGAGCUGUCGCGGCCAAAGUCGGGGUUGGCGAGGGAGGUAUCGUCGUGGAGUGAGCUCGUGCGCGGCGCGACUGUGGAGAGGCGGCGGAAAAAUCGGAAGGCAUCGGGUCUUACAGCCGGGGAUCCGGUGAGAUGAUGGACGCGGGUCGCGAGGCGGUCUGACGCAGCAGCGGCAAAACUCUGCCAUGGCAGCGACGGGGCACCUUGGCGCGGCCGGCGAGGGCGCGAGCGAGACGGGGAGAAGCAGAAAGGGUUGCAGAGGGGCUUCCGCUACGAUUGGGGAGGAGGGCGCGUGGAUCCAUCCUAUCGCGGCCGGCGGCUGGGCGAAGCGGCGGGUGUCAGAGAGAUCAUGCCACGCGGCGGGGAAGCUCUGAAGCGGGCGCAUGCUGCUCGGCGCGUCUGCCUCGUGAGAUCCGGGGAGAAGAUUGCGGGUCCACCAGUCAGUCUCGGUUGUUCCACAGCUCCAAGAUUGAAAGGAACACUGCCUUUGGGUACUCAGAAGGAACCGGCAGUUUUGGUUGGGUUCUCAGGGGUCGGGACUAAGAACCGGUUUUUGGAGCGCUUAAGCUCAGGGGAGCUGAGACAGAGGGAUUAGGGACCCGGAUUAAGAUUAACUCGGCCAAUCAACCAAGGUCGUUACACCUAUGGGUUCGGAUACGUAUAGACAUGGCCCGAGUACUCCUACUCGGUCCAAUAGUUAGUAGCGGCCUCUAGCAAGACGUGCCAACUCCUAUACGCACACGAAGAUCAUAUCAGACGAACCGUCACAACAUUAUGUACAUGCUAUUCCCUUUGCCUCACGAUAUUUGGUCUAGCUCCAAGCCGACCGCUCUUUCUCGAUCCUGUGAUUCGGAAUCCCUUUGUAGGUUAACUCUUAACCGUACGUAGCAUGGUCAUGCAUUUUCGGAUCCGAUCACUCGAGGGGCCCAGAGAUAUCACUCUCAAUCAGAUAGGGGUAAAUUCCAUCUUGAUUGACCAUGUCUCACAGCAUUCUUCCUGACAAACCCGAAAGCUACCUUUAUAACUACCCUGUUACGGUGUAGCGUUUGAUUGCCCCUAAGUGAGUCGAUUCACAUCUCGAGUACAUGCGACAAUCUCAGGUCUAAGGAUAAAGCGUACUUGUUGUGUAAAGCGAGAACUACUUCUCGUGUUGGGUCAGUCCUAGCCCAUGUCUCCACAUGCGCCCACAUUGUUAGUUUAACAUCUCCAUGUCCAUGACUUGUGAAACAUAGUCAUCAACUAAUACAUGUGCUAGUCUAAUAUUCAUGUGUGUCCUCAUAUGAACUCCGACUAGGGACAACUUUAGAAUAACCAUACAAGUAAAGAGUUUUUUUAACAAUUCACAUAAUUGCAAAUCAAUUCAAGUAGCCUUUAAUGGAUAUUCAAUGAACACAAUAUAUAAAACAUGGAUACAAAUGUAAUAUCAUCAUCUCUAUGAUUGCCUCUAGGUCAUACCUCCAACACUCUCUGCGUAUCCUGCUGUCGAUUUCUCGUACGAUGAUGAUAGAGUUGGAGAUUUUCUCGUGACGCUUGGGCAUCCUCAUGGCAUGCGGGGCUAUCAUGAUGUAUGGAACAACUCCGGCUUGGUCACCUCAGUUGCUUCCAUCCUAAAACAGCUACUAUUAAUCAUGUACGAAUAAUUAACACACGUGCGCGCGCACAGAGGCGUACAGUGCAUGCAUAUUGAUAGUAGCUAACGUGCACUACAUGAAUGUAUACUUGCAGCAAGGAGGUCUGUCCUACUGCCACUGGUUUGGGCAAUAUUGUCCAAAUAUUUAAUUAGUGGUGACUUUGGCACCGGUCCGGGCGCGUGCGGCUCACCAGUUUUUGGAGUAGAUGGCCGGGUGGUAGGCAUGAGCAUCUCUUAAGUCUAAGAUAUGACAUAUGUUCUUUCAGUGGGGUGGAUAUGGGAGACACUACAAAUGUACUUCCAGUACUAUGUAUGUGUCUAGUAUACAUUCACUGUACUCCACACAUGGCCCAUCACAUCAGGCCUAUCAGGUCUACGCAGUGGCCCCUAGUUUAUUGGGCGAGAGAGGAUAUGAUGCCCAUCAUGUAGUACAGAUGUAUUUCUAGUACUAUGUACACAUACACUGUACUUCACACCUUGCCCAUCUCAUCCAUCCAAUCAGGUCUAUGCAGUGCCCCUCAGUUUAUUGGGCUAGAGAGUAAAUGAUGCCCAUCAUGUAGUACAGAUGUACUUCUAGUACUAUGUACACAUACAAGCUAGUAUAUUUUCACUGCACUGGAGUAGUUAAAUUAAUAAUGGCACAUAAUAUCCUGGGCAUUGCUAAUAAAUUAAGGCGCACCAGUAUACUCGUACCCGCAGGAACUAUGACCAGCUCCCACCUGAAAGCAUUCAUGCAAAGCGGAUAGAAGAAGAACACGCCAUGUCCGUGGUAAGGCUGUGCAUCGCAAGAACUAAGAAGAACAAAGGACGUGGCACCGGUUUUAUCGUGGUCAACACCGCGAACAAGCUUGUGGUCAUGACCUGUGGCCACUUGUUAAAUGAAUGGGUUAGAGGUACAAAGGUAGGCGUCACAUUCCAUGACAUGAGAGAUGCUAGUGCCAAAGCGGUGUGGGUUAAUACAGAGAAGGAGGUUGCAUUGCUUCUCAUAGAUACCCCUUCCAAUCCUGAAUUCUCUACGUAUCCUGCUAUCAAUUUCUCGUACGAUGACAUUAGAGUUGGAGAUUUUCUCGUGACACUUGGGCAUCCUCAUGGCAUGCGGGGCUAUCACGAUGUAUGGAACAAUUUUGGCUUGGUCACCUAAGUUGCUUCCAUCCUAAAACAGCUACUGUUAAUCACAUACGAUAAUUAACACACGUGCGCGCACACAGAGGCAUACAGUGCAUGCAUAUUGAUAGUAGCUAACGUGCACUACAUGAAUGUAUACUUGCAGCAAGGAGGUCGGUCCUACUGCCACUGGUUUGGGCAGUAUUGUCCAAAUAUUUAAUUAGUGGUGACUUUGGCAACGGUCUGGGCGCGUUCGGCUCACCAGUUUUUGAAGUAGAUGGCUGGGUGGUAGGCAUCAGCAUCUCUGGUGUUCAAGAUAUGACAUAUGUUCUUUCAGUGGGGUGGAUAUGGGAGACACUGCUGAAGGCCGGGUGCAGGAUCAUCUGGAGGUAAAGGUAAUCCCACAUCUCUUCUUGUUACUUGUUAAGCACCCUUAGUUAUUCCUCCCAAGUUAAAGAAACACUAAAAUUAGCAUCAUGGAUACGGGCGCACUACUAGUUUUUUUUUAAACAAAAGGCACACUUCUAGUUAAUUAGCACUAGCUGAACCAGAGCUGUAUUCUAUAUGUGAUGAUGAUGCAGGGUCGGGUGCACUACGGUGAUUGAUGAAGAAGCUGGAGGUGCGAUGGCCAACUUAAAGCUAUAAGAUGCGAGCAACUCGACGAGAUCAGGGAAAGCUCAAGAACGUGUGUGGUGAGCACAAACUGAUUGCUUCAAUUAAUUCAGGAAGCGGCAGCGGCAGCUAGCGGCAGUUCCUGGCCACACGUGUCUACGCCGGCGGGUUUCAACUAUUCCGACCUUGGAGACUGCUGCACCUCCCUAGUUGGUUUUACCUUACUCUGCUGCAUUCGUUUGUUUCACUAGGAACUCAUUUACUUUGUUUCGCUGAAAGUAAAAGGUGUGCAUAGCAUGCACGUCUGCUCUGCCAGUUCGACUGGAUGUAAAAGGUGUCUCUCGUCUCUGUGAGCGAGGCUGCCGACAGAUGUUAGGCAUCUAGGUCCCGUUUUCUUCGACUGACUUAUUUUUAGCACCCGUCACAUCGAAUGUUUAGAUACUAAUUAGGAGUAUUAGACGUAGACGAUUUACAAAAGUCCUUACAUAAUACGAAGCUAAAAAGCGAGACGAAUAUGAGUUGUCAUCGCAAGGGGGUGGGCAGGCACUCUGAUGUGCAAGUCUGUUACCUAAACGUAACUGAGAUCUGACGUGGGAGGGAGGGAGGUGGGUCAUAAUCAGGGCUGUACUUCAUGGUGAGGCUGCGUAAAAAGACGACAGGAUAGCUCCGCCGAAAAAUUCAAGUGAGCUUAUCGGAUGUGGCCGACACGGGUGNNNNNNNNNNNNNNNNNNNNNNNNNNNNNNNNNNNNNNNNNNNNNNNNNNNNNNNNNNNNNNNNNNNNNNNNNNNNNNNNNNNNNNNNNNNNNNNNNNNNNNNNNNNNNNNNNNNNNNNNNNNNNNNNNNNNNNNNNNNNNNNNNNNNNNNNNNNNNNNNNNNNNNNNNNNNNNNNNNNNNNNNNNNNNNNNNNNNNNNNNNNNNNNNNNNNNNNNNNNNNNNNNNNNNNNNNNNNNNNNNNNNNNNNNNNNNNNNNNNNNNNNNNNNNNNNNNNNNNNNNNNNNNNNNNNNNNNNNNNNNNNNNNNNNNNNNNNNNNNNNNNNNNNNNNNNNNNNNNNNNNNNNNNNNNNNNNNNNNNNNNNNNNNNNNNNNNNNNNNNNNNNNNNNNNNNNNNNNNNNNNNNNNNNNNNNNNNNNNNNNNNNNNNNNNNNNNNNNNNNNNNNNNNNNNNNNNNNNNNNNNNNNNNNNNNNNNNNNNNNNNNNNNNNNNNNNNNNNNNNNNNNNNNNNNNNNNNNNNNNNNNNNNNNNNNNNNNNNNNNNNNNNNNNNNNNNNNNNNNNNNNNNNNNNNNNNNNNNNNNNNNNNNNNNNNNNNNNNNNNNNNNNNNNNNNNNNNNNNNNNNNNNNNNNNNNNNNNNNNNNNNNNNNNNNNNNNNNNNNNNNNNNNNNNNNNNNNNNNNNNNNNNNNNNNNNNNNNNNNNNNNNNNNNNNNNNNNNNNNNNNNNNNNNNNNNNNNNNNNNNNNNNNNNNNNNNNNNNNNNNNNNNNNNNNNNNNNNNNNNNNNNNNNNNNNNNNNNNNNNNNNNNNNNNNNNNNNNNNNNNNNNNNNNNNNNNNNNNNNNNNNNNNNNNNNNNNNNNNNNNNNNNNNNNNNNNNNNNNNNNNNNNNNNNNNNNNNNNNNNNNNNNNNNNNNNNNNNNNNNNNNNNNNNNNNNNNNNNNNNNNNNNNNNNNNNNNNNNNNNNNNNNNNNNNNNNNNNNNNNNNNNNNNNNNNNNNNNNNNNNNNNNNNNNNNNNNNNNNNNNNNNNNNNNNNNNNNNNNNNNNNNNNNNNNNNNNNNNNNNNNNNNNNNNNNNNNNNNNNNNNNNNNAUUUACUAAUGAUGGAUUAAUUAGGCUUAAUAGAUUCGUCUCGCCGUUUAGAUUCGUCUUAUGUAAUGGGUUUUGUAAAUAGUCUACGUUUAAUACUCCUAAUUAGUAUCUAAACAUUCGAUGUGACAUGUGCUAAAAAUAAGUCAGUGGAAGAAAACGCCCUCUUAGGCUCACCGCCAUCAGUCGUCAAACACCAGUGCUUGUGUCCUUUAGCUUGUGUAAUCAAGAAUGCAAUGCCUAUCUAGCUACUUUUGCCUCUGAUUUUGUGUUUGCAUUGGAAGGCAGCCAGGCUGUUGUUCUACAAGUACUACUCCUAGUCCUAUACUACUACAUGUAUCUAGGCCUUUCCCGCCCUUCGAGGGACAAGGAAGCCAUGUACUAAAACCACACGCUCAACGUAUGUCACGUCUU
rnacentral:lncRNA from 1 species